UACGUAGGUGGCAAGCGUUGUCCGGAAUUACUGGGUGUAAAGCGCGUGUAGGCGGCAGACCAAGUCGGCGGUGAAAGCGCCCGGCUCAACUGGGCGAGGUCCGUGGAAACUGGUCAGCUGGAGGACGGUAGAGGCAAGUGGAAUUCCCGGUGUAGUGGUGAAAUGCGUAGAGAUCGGGAGGAACACCUGUGGCGAAGGCGGCUCGCUGGGCCGGUCCUGACGCUGAGACGCGAAGGCGUGGGGAGCGAACGGG
rnacentral:rRNA from 1 species